rnacentral:tRNA from 1 species
UCCCGGUUCGUCUAACGGUAGGACAGCAGGCUCUGAACCUGCUUAUCGUGGUUCGAAUCCAUGACCGGGAGCCA